rnacentral:rRNA from 1 species
UACGAAGGGGGCUAGCGUUGCUCGGAAUCACUGGGCGUAAAGGGCGCGUAGGCGGACUUUUAAGUCGGGGGUGAAAGCCCAGGGCUCAACCCUGGAAUUGCCUUCGAUACUGAGAGUCUUGAGUUCGGAAGAGGUUGGUGGAACUGCGAGUGUAGAGGUGAAAUUCGUAGAUAUUCGCAAGAACACCGGUGGCGAAGGCGGCCAACUGGACCAUUACUGACGCUGAGGCGCGAAAGCGUGGGGAGCAAACAGG